AAAAAAUCGAGCUGGGGGGUUCCCUGGUCCCUGGCGAUGGGGCGGGGAGCGCGGCGCCAGGGGAGGAGGCGGGCGCGGCAGCGCGGGCCCCGCCGAGAGGGGACACCUGGCUGAGGCACAGCUGCUGCCCGCCGCGCCGCGCCGCGCCGCUCCACGCGAACCCAGGGCUCCGGUCCCUGCGCGGGCUCGAGAGCUCGCCCCGACCGGGGGUCUUUCUCCUCCGCCGUUGACAGGUUUUGACCUUUAGGAGAGAGCCAAUUCUGGAGAACAACCUAACUUCUUUGAUUGAACAUUCACAUAAUGCAUUGGAACAUGAUAGGAGGUUAAGGUGAAUAACAACAAAAUGAAGACCAUAUAAAACAAGCCCCCUACUUAGCCCUGCAAUUCUUACCUUUCUUACCUACUUGAUGAAGAUGUCAUUUGAAUGGUGUACUGCAAGGAAUUAAAUGCUGUUUGUAAAUUAUGCUUUUACCAAGGUUUAAGUUGAUGCCAAAUAAUUCCAAUAUUGAGCAUCUUAAAUCUGUUACUUGGAGUAUGGAUUGAGUUUGGAGCUAACUCAGAGGACUACAGGCAAGUAUUCAGGAGGUAGUCAGAGGGAUAAUCGUAAUAGUUGAACAAUUCAGCUUGCAUACUAUAUUCAACUUCAAGUCUCUUAAGAUCACAUAUAUGUGAAAGUAGAAUUGACAAUUUGAUCAUAGACUAAAUGCCAUAUUUAACAGUAAAGAUUUUCUUCAAUCAAUUAUGUAACCUUUUAAUUGUUAUAGAAUUAGAGGUGUUUUUAAGCCACCAGGUAUCAUUACUGAUAUAUGUUCAGGUUAGCCAUAACUGGAUUAGCAAGAUUAUACUUUAAUAAACUAUGAUUUCUAAGUUAAUGUAUUUACUUAUUUAGAAGUUGACAUUCUAAAUCAAUUUUUUUUUCCUUUUGCAGGUGGAUAUUACUAUCCCUUAUUCAUGGAAAAAGUUAUAUUCUAAGUGUUGUUUCUCAUUGAGUAUUAGCAAAAAGGAGAAAAAUUAAUGUCCUAAACUUUUGAGAUAGAUUUGGCUCUAGUAAGUAUUUAGAUCUGUUAUUAAUAGGGUUGGCCAAAAAGUUCGUUCGGUUUUUUCCCAUAAGAUGGCUCUAGUAGUGAGCUCUUAGUUGUCUUUAACUUCAUUCGAAACAGUUUUGUUAGGUUGUAUUGUGACAGCUGUCAUACCAGAGUGCAUUUAAAAAAAUAUAUCAAAAUUGGUGAAUUUUUGUGUAGCCAUUUUAGUAUUGAAGAUGGAAGAAAAAAGCAAUAUUUUCGGCAUAUUAUUGCUUUAUUAUUUCAAGAAAGGUAAAAACACAACUGAAACGCAAAAAAAAGAUUCGUGCAUUGUGUGGAGAAAUUGCUGUGACUGAUCGAACCUGUCAAAAGUGGUUUGCGAAGUUUUGUGCUGGAGAUUUCUUGCUGGACGAUGCUCCACGGUUGGGUAGACCAGUUGAAGUUGUUAGGGAUCAAAUCAAGACAUUAAUUGAGAACAACCAACGUUAUACCACGUGGAAGAUAGCUGACAUACUCAAAAUAUCCAAAUCAAGCUUUGAAAAUCAUUUGCAGCAGCUUGGUUAUGUUAAUCGCUUUGAUGUUUGGGUUCCACAUAAGUUAAGCGAAAAAAACCUUCCUGACCUUAUUUCCGCGUGUGAUUCUCUACUUAAACGUAACGAAAACAUUCCGUUUUUAAAACAAAUUGUGACGGGCAAUGAAAAGUGGAUACUGUACAAUAAUGUGGAACAGAAGAGAUCGUGGGGCAAGUGAAAUGAACCACCACCAACCACCCCAAAGUCCGGUCUUCAUCCAAAGAAGGUGACGUUGUGUAUUUGGUGGAAUUGGAAGGGAGUCCCCUCUUAUGAGCUCCUUCCAGAAAACCAAUUAAUUCCAAGAAGUACUGCUCCCAGUUAGACCUACUGAAAUCAGCACUCGAUGAAAAGCAUCCAGAAUUACUCAACAGAAAACACAUAAUCUGGGACUUUCCUGGCUGUCCAGUGGUUAAGACUGUGCACCGCAGGGGUGCAGGUCCGAUUCCUGGUCAGGGAACUAAGAUCCCACAUGCCACGCAACGCGGCCAAAAAUAAAUGAAUAAAUUUAAGAAGCAAAAAGAAAGAAAACGUAUAAUCUUCCAUCAGGAUACCGCAAGACUGCAUGUUUCUUUGAUAACUAGGCAAAAAGUGUUACAGCUUGGCUAGGAAGUUCUGAUUCAUCCACCAUAUUCACCAGACAUUGCACCUUCGGGUUUCCAUUUACUUCAGUCUUCACAAAAUUCUCUUAAUGGAAAAAAUUUAAAUUCCCUGCAAGACUAUAAAAGGCACCUAGAAUAGUUCUUUGCUCAAAAAGAUAAAAAAUUUUGGGAAGGAGGAAUUACGAAGUUGCCUGAAAAAUGACAGAAGGUAGUAGAACAAAAGGGCGAAUACGUUGUUCAAUAAAAUUCUUGGUGAAAAUGAAAAA